CUUACCCAAACGACUUUUAGUAAUUUUCAUUUAUAUGCAAAUGUGUGGCUCGUGAUUGUUUUAUGUGAUUUGAAAUUAAUAAUGCUUAAAGAAAAAAAUAAUUGAUUUUCCAUUAAGUAUACGUUUUCCGAUAGAACUUCAAUUAAUAAUUUCCUCCACUUUCGUCACAUCUCGCCAUACCUAAGAGCCAUGGCUCGUCCAGUUUACACCGCAAACACACACCUCAUUCCUAUCGCAGUUGGAGUGGCGGUUGUUUUAACUGGUGCUGUUUUAUAUUAUUUCCUGAAUAAAAAAUCCACAACUAAAGCACGUCCAGAACCAAACCGAACGGCUCGUUUGCGCACAUUAAUUGAUCCAAAUGAUAAAUAUCAAUUGCCGCUAAUCGAAAAAGAGGUGCUCAGUCAUGAUACACGUCGCUUCCGCUUCGGUUUACCAUCAAACCAACAUAUACUUGGUUUACCCGUUGGACAGCAUAUUCAUCUGAUUGCAACUAUUGACAAUGAAUUAGUUAUACGCCCGUACACUCCAGUUUCAUGUGACGAUGAUCAAGGUUUUGUUGAUCUAGUUGUGAAGGUGUACUUUAAAGACACACAUCCUAAAUUCCCGGCUGGUGGAAAAAUGUCACAAUAUUUGGAACAAAUGAAAAUUGGGGACAAAAUAUCAUUCCGUGGUCCAUCGGGUCGGUUACAGUAUCUAGGAAAUGGUUCAUUUUCAAUUAAAAAAUUGCGAAAAGAUCCACCGAAGGUUGUUACAGCGACGCGUGUGAACAUGAUUGCAGGAGGGUCUGGUAUUACGCCAAUGUUGCAACUAGUGCGUGAUAUACUCAAGAAUAGUGAAAAAGACAAGACUGAAUUGGCAUUGCUGUUUGCUAAUCAAAGUGAAGAAGAUAUUUUGUUGCGUAAAGAAUUGGAUGACUUGGAACAAAAGCAUGGUCAACAGUUUAGGGUUUGGUACACCAUUGACAAAGCUUCUUCUGAAGGGUGGUCUUAUAAUGUAGGCUACGUUAAUGAUGAUAUGAUGCGUGCACAUUUACUUCCUCCAAGUAAAGAUACACUUUGCCUACUAUGCGGUCCUCCGCCCAUGGUGAAUUAUACUUGUAUACCAGGGCUUGAACGUUUAGGUCAUCACAUUGACAUGCGUUUUAGUUAUUAGAUUAUUUACUAUAAAUGAAUUGAAUUAACAUUUUUUUUUAUUGUUAUAAGCCACUGUACUAAGUGGAGUAGAGACUGGAUUUACAGUACUGGUUUCGUCAAUGAGGAAAUGAUAAGCAAGAAUCUGUUUCCUGCUAGCGAUUCUACAAUUGUGCUGAUGUGUG